UACGUAGGGUGCGAGCGUUGUCCGGAAUUAUUGGGCGUAAAGAGCUCGUAGGCGGCUUGUCGCGUCGGAUGUGAAAGCCCGGGGCUUAACCCCGGGUCUGCAUUCGAUACGGGCAGGCUAGAGUUCGGUAGGGGAGAUCGGAAUUCCUGGUGUAGCGGUGAAAUGCGCAGAUAUCAGGAGGAACACCGGUGGCGAAGGCGGAUCUCUGGGCCGAUACUGACGCUGAGGCACGAAAGCCAGGGGAGCAAACGGG
rnacentral:rRNA from 1 species